AGUAACUAGCAACCUCAAACAAAAUUAUACAAAUGCUGAUAAUUAAGGGAACAUUAAUAUAAAGAAAAAGUUAGGUAAGAAACAUUGAAGAUAAAAACUGACCCCAUAAGAUUGACUCUGAGAUUGGCUUUGAGUUGAACAAAUAAGUCAAACAGUUGACCCAAAUCAGCAGCAUUACCAUGAGAAUACAAUAGGGUAAGUCUUGCAUAUGGAUUCUUAAGCUUUUUUUAGAGACAGAAAGAGAUGCACGGCGGAGAGAGAGAGGGGUAGGGAGGAGGAAGGUGGUGGUGAAGAAGGAGAUGCAACUUUUCAAGAACAUGAAGUUGAUGACUUCAUUGCGUGUCAGUUUUAACAGAUUGUGGGGCCCACUUUUACUACCAUUUGUAUGUCUAAACGACAAAUUUAUUUUCAACAGUACUAUACAAAGACACAAGAGUGUAUAAAUAUUGAAUAAUGGCACUAGCAUACUUUUUACGCAUUA